GACGUAGGGCGCGAGCGUUGUCCGGAUUUAUUGGGCGUAAAGAGCUCGUAGGCGGCUUGUCGCGUCGUUCGUGAAAACCCACAGCUCAACUGUGGGCUUGCGGUCGAUACGGGCAGGCUAGAGUUCGGUAGGGGAGACUGGAAUUCCUGGUGUAGCGGUGAAAUGCGCAGAUAUCAGGAGGAACACCGGUGGCGAAGGCGGGUCUCUGGACAGUUCCUGACGCUGAGGCACGAAAGCGUGGGGAGCAAACAGG
rnacentral:rRNA from 1 species